UGGGGAAUAUUGCACAAUGGGCGCAAGCCUGAUGCAGCCAUGCCGCGUGUGUGAAGAAGGCCUUCGGGUUGUAAAGCACUUUCAGCGGGGAGGAAGGCGAUAAGGUUAAUAACCUUGUCGAUUGACGUUACCCGCAGAAGAAGCACCGGCUAACUCCGUGCCAGCAGCCGCGGUAAUACGGAGGGUGCAAGCGUUAAUCGGAAUUACUGGGCGUAAAGCGCACGCAGGCGGUCUGUCAAGUCGGAUGUGAAAUCCCCGGGCUCAACCUGGGAACUGCAUUCGAAACUGGCAGGCUAGAGUCUUGUAGAGGGGGGUAGAAUUCCAGGUGUAGCGGUGAAAUGCGUAGAGAUCUGGAGGAAUACCGGUGGCGAAGGCGGCCCCCUGGACAAAGACUGGCGCUCAGGUGCGAAAGCGUGGGGAGCAAACAGGAUUANAUACCCUGGUAGUCCACGCCGUAAACGAUGUCGAUUUGGAGGNUAUGCCCUUGAGGCGUGGCUUCCGGAGCUAACGCGUUAAAUCNACCGCCUGGGGAGUACGGCCGCAAGGNUA
rnacentral:rRNA from 1 species